GUCACUUUGCCGGAGUGGUUAACGGGAUCGCCUGCUAAAAACUUACGUAAUCAUUGCGUACGUAAGCAUCCAGCGGUUGGGCUUUGCCCGCGUGUGUUCGAAUCGCACAGGUGACG